rnacentral:rRNA from 1 species
UACGUAGGGGGCUAGCGUUGUCCGGAUUUAUUGGGCGUAAAGAGCGUGUAGGCGGCCAGGUAGGUCUGCUGUGAAAACUCGAGGCUCAACCUCGAGACGUCGGCGGAAACCAUCUGGCUAGAGUCCGGAAGAGGAGAGUGGAAUUCCUGGUGUAGCGGUGAAAUGCGCAGAUAUCAGGAAGAACACCAAUGGCGAAGGCAGUUCUCUGGGACGGUACUGACGCUGAGACGCGAAAGCGUGGGGAGCGAACAGG